CCAGGGUCAGCCAGACAAUGAAAAGCAGAGGGAGGCACAGAGAGCCAAUUUAGGCUGGAAGGGUUCUGCAUUGCCAAUUGCUGCACUGCUCUGUCUCCUCCAGAGGCCAGGUAUGGAGGAAGCAAAAACCAGAAGAAGGGACUACCCCCCACCACACACACACACACACACACACACACACGGACAGUGGCAGAGAAAGAGGCACAGGAUUUGCUCUUAAUGCUGCCAUGGGAUACAGUUUAGUUCCCUCACCCGGAUGUGUCUGGCAGCCACCAGCCAUAUACCUGCAAACAAGGACCCAUCUCAGUGAUCAGGCCCUUGCCACAGGUGGCUGGCACCUUGACCUUCCCAUGAAGACUGGUUGCCAUGGAGCAUGAAAACACAGCGAUUCCUGGAGGUGGCUCUCCACAUAACACUGACAUUGUUAUGCUCAAAGUGUUGCAUCUGGGCAACCAGCCUAUUAAGGGACUUUAGAGACUUUCUCUUCUCAUUUAAGACAUAUGAGGGUUUUCCAUCAUCCCUCCCCUUGCACUGCUAGGCUAGAGUCUACCCUGCUAACAGAGUGGAUGAACUACCGUGCAGUUGAGAUUCAACCUCCAAAGUUUUAUGAUGUCAGAUGACAAAAACUGGAACUGUUACCAGACACAGUGGGACACAACUGUAACACUAGCACCUUGGAGGGUUGAGGCAGGAGGAUUUCAAGUUUGAGGCCAGCCUGAGCAACUUAGUGAAGCCAGGUCUUAAAAUAAAAACUAAAGAAAGGAUUGGGGAUGUGCAGCUCAGUGGUAAAGCACCCCUGUGUCCUAUCCCCAGUGACCACCACAAACAACAAAAAAUUGGAACUGUUCCUUCUGGGCAAGGAACAAUUGUAUUUUUAUUUUGUCAAAUACUGUAAUUUUAUUAUUCACCAAAAAAUACGAAUUAUUGGAUUCCCGUUCCCAAGCAUCUUAAAACACAGGAACUUGUAACAUGUUUG
rnacentral:lncRNA from 1 species